CCGAGGGGCCGGACUGCUCCGGGGAAAAAAAAAAAGAUUCUCGCAGCCGCCAUCUCCGCGUCCUGGUCCAGAUAGUCUCGAAGUGCGAUCGCCCUUCAGGCUGGCUAUAAUCCAGUCUGGCACUCAAGCUUCAGUCAAAAGCCCCCACCAUCACCCUGCCCCAACUCUUGGACUCUGAUUGAGGAGCCUGUUGAGAGGAGAUGACAAAUUGGCUGAAGUUAAUCCCUGUGAGUGUGAAUGUUUCAAUAAAUGAAGCUUUUCACAUCAAUUAUCAUGACAGAGGUUAUUUUUUGGAUCAGCACAAUUCUGAAAGGGGUAAAGAAUGAAAAAAUAGCAUCUGAAUUCCUUCGGCAUUACCAUAAUAUGAAGACAUAAUUCCUCCAAAGGCACACGCAAGAUUUCAGGGACAGAAUAGUCCAUAAAGCCUUCAAAUCUGAAGAAUAAAAUAAUGUUAAACACGUGACCUCUUAUCAGAAAUGCCACACUACAAGGACUGAUGUACUUCUGACUUCCAGUGCUGUGUCAUACCUUUCUCUGGUAUACAUCCUGAAGCAGAAGCCGUCUCGGACCCUCCCCGCCCUCCCCUGGCGCUGCAGAGCACUUGCUUUACUGACAGACGUCUCAACCAAAGAACUCAUCUGACUGCUUUCAUGGUACCUGAAGAAAAGUUUUAGGAGAAAAUAUUUAGAGAAAGGACUUAAAUCAAAAUCUGAAAAAAAGCUG